UCCUACGGGAGGCAGCAGUGGGGAAUAUUGCACAAUGGAGGAAACUCUGAUGCAGCGACGCCGCGUGAGUGAAGAAGGUCUUCGGAUCGUAAAACUCUGUCCUUGGUGAAGAUAAUGACGGUAGCCAAGGAGGAAGCCCCGGCUAACUACGUGCCAGCAGCCGCGGUAAUACGUAGGGGGCUAGCGUUGUCCGGAUUUACUGGGCGUAAAGGGUGAGUAGGCGGUUGCAUAAGUCAGAUGUAAAAGGCUAAGGCUUAACCAUAGUAUGCAUUUGAAACUGUGUGACUUGAGUACAGGAGAGGUAAGCGGAAUUCCUAGUGUAGCGGUGAAAUGCGUAGAUAUUAGGAGGAACACCAGUGGCGAAGGCGGCUUACUGGACUGUAACUGACGCUGAGUCACGAAAGCGUGGGUAGCAAACAGGAUUAGAUACCCUGGUAGUCCACGCUGUAAACGAUGAGUGCUAGGUGUUGGGUAGCGAUACUCAGUGCCGAAGUAAACACAAUAAGCACUCCGCCUGGGGAGUACGGUCGCAAGACUGAAACUCAAAGGAAUUGACGGA
rnacentral:rRNA from 1 species